rnacentral:rRNA from 1 species
UCGGGAAUUUUGGGCAAUGGGGGAAACCCUGACCCAGCAACGCCGCGUGAAGGAUGAAGUAUUUCGGUAUGUAAACUUCGAAAGAAUAGGAAGAAUAAAUGACGGUACUAUUUAUAAGGUCCGGCUAACUACGUGCCAGCAGCCGCGGUAAUACGUAGGGACCAAGCGUUGUUCGGAUUUACUGGGCGUAAAGGGCGCGUAGGCGGCAUGACAAGUCACUUGUGAAAUCUCUGGGCUUAACCCAGAACGGCCAAGUGAUACUGUCGCGCUAGAGUGCAGAAGGGGCAAUCGGAAUUCUUGGUGUAGCGGUGAAAUGCGUAGAUAUCAAGAGGAACACCUGAGGUGAAGACGGGUUGCUGGGCUGACACUGACGCUGAGGCGCGAAAGCCAGGGGAGCAAACGGGAUUAGAUACCCACGUAGUCCCUGAGCGGGC